rnacentral:lncRNA from 1 species
AUGAGAAUCGAAUGCCACUGCUGAUCUGACAGGAGGCGGAGCUCAGGCGGUCAUGUUUGCCUUCGCCCCGGGGCUCACCUCCGUCUGUGCAGCCCGGUUCCUAGCAGGCCACAAAGGGGUACUGGUCUGCGGCCUGGGGUGUGGGGACCCCUGCCUUAGAGCAAAAGAGUUUUGGGGUGUGGUGAGAAUACCUUGCCCGGGUGAGGAAGGCUUCCUGGAUUGGAAUGCGGCGUCCAAACUGAUACCUGAUCGUCGGCGAGCACUAGGCCAGGGGAAAGGUCUCCAGGCUGCCAGACUGCUGGGCAGAUGAUGGCUCUUCUAUCCACGGCACCUGGUUGGAUGUCAGGAGUACUGAGGAGUGUGUGUGUGUGUGUGUGUGUAUGUGUGUAUGUGUGUGUGCGCGCGCGCGCGCGCGCGCGUGUGAGUGUGUGUGUAUUUUUGUGCAGAGCAAGCGUGAAGGAAGCCAGCAGGAGCCAUACCCAUGAGUUGAAAAUAUCAGAAAGGGGAGCUAUGACCUGCAAGACACAUUGUGAUUGUGGUGUCUUGGCCAUUGUCCAUUGGGACCACAGGAAGGUCAGGGAUGCACUUCUGCUUGGUCCUACGGCUGGCAGUUGGGAGAUGCGGGCGUGGGGAGCGGAGCCCGGCCCAGCAGGCUCUGCCUCUUGGUGACUCCACUCCAGGUUUCAGUUUGGUUGCCUCCUUGACGGUCUAGAUCCCUAACCCCCAGAUCCACCAGAGCUGCUGAGAAACUGGGACAAGCCUCCACAGAGGCAAGCGACUUGGGGUAUGUGUGGGUAUAUGGGUGUGGAUGAGAGAGUGAGCGAGCGAAGGAGUUCACCAGUAUAGACGCCAGUAGCAGCUACCCUUCCAGUUGUGACAACCUAAAGUGUCCCAAACAUUGUCAAAUGUCAGAUAUCUGGCAAGGAGAGCCGGGAGUUGUUCCUGGUUGAGAACCACUGAUUUAGAGAUUGUAGCUUUCCUUUUCCAUUGCUGCUUAUGGGUUAAGCCUCAAGUCUUUUCCAGAAGGGUUGGAUUGUGACUUGUACAGCCUCUUCCUGGAGACUUCCACCCACCAAAUUGAAAGGGUCACAGGCUGACUCAGGGGGUGAAGAGCCUGGGUUCAACCGAGGAAAGGGCCGGGGCCUGCUUUCCUCCCGUGGCCUCGGCUGCAGCCCGCGAGCUUGGGAGAAAGUAGCUGCUGGCCUGGCCGGGGGUGCUGCGCUCUGCUCCCGGUUUCUCUCUUCCAACAGUUAGAACAUGAAAGCUGGAAGAGAUCCGAGAGGGUGUCUAUCUAGUUCAACACCUGCCCCUUCCCUUAAAAAAGUGUUUACGAUGAGAACACUGACAUUCAGAGCCCUGAAGCGUGUCUUCUAGGGCUACGUAGCUUUUAUGAGGUAGAAGUAAGACCAGGUCCAGGUGUCCUGACUUCCAGCCUAGAGCUUUUACUGCUCCAUGGGCAGCCUCUCUGAGUCCCCUAUUAAAAUGCAGUCCCCCUGGAGGGCACACACCAUAAACUAGAUGAGUGGCUGCUUAAUAAAUGACCUUGAAACUUAGUGGCUCGAAACAAAAAUAAAUAGUCUCUCAGUUUCUCUGGGUCAGGAAUUUGGGAGCAGCUUGGCUGGGCAGUUCUGCCUCAGAGUCUCUCAUAAGUUUCAGUGAGAUGUUGGCCAGCGCUUUUGAGUAUAGACUUUGGUCAAGAAUCUUCUCUUGGCCGGGCACUAUGGUUCACACCUGUAAUCCCAGCACUUUGGGAGGCCAUGAUAGGAGGAUCACUUGAGGCCAGGAAUUUGAGGCUAGCCUGGGCAACUUGGUGAGACCCUGUCUCUACAAAAACUACAAAAAUAAGCCGAGUGUGGUGGCAUGUGCCUGUGGUCCCAGGUACCUGGAAGACUUGGGUGGGAGGAUUGCUUGAGCCCAGGAGGCCAAGGCUGUAGUGAGCCAUGAUGGCACCACUGCAACUUCAGCUUGGGUGACAGAGUGAGGCCCUGUCUCAAAACAAAACAAAACAAAAACCCACAAAAAUCUUCUCUAAGCCUCAAUUUUCUCAUGUGUAAAAUGGAGAUAAUAACAGAAGUUAUUUCAUAGGCUGUUAUGAGGAUUAAAAAAAUAAUUCUUUUGUGGCAGAGAUUUUCAGUUUCUUACUCUAAUAUCACUUCCUCUUUCUUCCUUUGUAAUAGAAGCUCUAAUAUUUAGCUGGAAAGUUGGCUGCCUGGAAUAAAAGUCUACAUUUUUCAUCUUUUUUUUUUGUUUUUUGUUUUUCCAACCAGUUCUGUUUGAAGACAUGUAUAGAAGUGGUAUAUGGCACCUUUCAGGGAACUUUCUUUAAAAAACAGUAUCUCCAUUUGCUCCUUUUAUUGGUUGCCCUCCUCUACUCUGCUUCCUGGAAUGUGGAUGUGAUGGUUGGAGCUCUGGUUGCCAACUUGGAACACGAGGAUGAGCAGCACACCCCUGGGAUGAUGGAGUGAUGGACUGGAGGGAGUUUGGGUUCCAGAAAGUUUUGUGGAAUUGUCAUACCAAUCUUGCACUGCCUAGGUGAUAGAGAAAUAAAGUUAAAAUUGUUUUUUUCUGCCGGGCGCAGUGUCUCAUGCCUGUAAUCCCAGCACUUUGGGAGGCCGAGGUGAGUGGAUCACUGGAGGUCAGGAGUUCGAGGCCAGCCUGGCCAACAUGGCAAAACCCCAUCUCUACUAAAAAUACAAAAAUAUUAGCCGGGUGUGGUGACACAUGCCUGUAAUCCCAGCUACUUCGGAGGCUGAGGCAGGAGAAUCACUUGAACCCAGGAGGUGGAAGCUGCAGUGAGCUGCACUCCAGCCUGGGAGACAGAGCAAGACUCUAUCUCAAAAAAAAAAAAAAAAAAAAAGUUGCCCUCAAACAUUCUGCUAUCCAAGAGAAAUAAACUUUUAUCUUGGCCAAACAGAUAUUUUGUGCUUUCUGGCUCAUGCAACUGAACUGAACAUCCUAUUUGCUUACACUGUUAGCAAAUGCCUGGUAGUCAGGAGGUGCUCAGUACCCUGGUGAGCAUUUUGAUUUCAAAGCUGGGGUCAAACCAGUCAACCAAAUCUCAUAACCUGGAUGUGGGGAGAGUAAAGGGGACAGCCAGGACAGUGGAGAAAGAGCUCUGGGGUCAGGAGACCUGGGUCACAGUUGUAGCUCUCCUCUCUCCGCCUCAAUUUAAUUUUAAUUUUAUUUAUUUAUUUAUUUUUGAGAUAGAGUCGCACUCUGUCACCCAGGUUGGAGUG